AUUCUCACCUGACAACCAUCCUCCAGCACACUGUAUGUGAAUCGGCUGUUGCCCUCGGCUCUGAUUUCAACAUCGUUGGAGCCCUGUAGCAAAAGUGCCUUCUUCAGGUUACCAGUGGAUUCGUCCAUGUAAGCCACGCUGUUCUUGCAGUGGUAGGUGAUUUUCUGAGAGGCAUCGCUAGACAGCAGUCUCAGGAAAUUCAUCUGAAUGGAAGCCAUAUGAGGAGUCUGGCUCUUGUCACCAUAACUGAACUGUAUUAAAGACAAAGAAACACAGAGGGUUGUUAUUUCUGUUUAUAGAAAGAAAACUUAUACAAAGACAGAAAACUGUAGGACUAAUCAUUUUCCAUGUCAUUUGUGUGUGUCAAUGCUUGCUAAUUUGGGAGACACAUUAUGAAACAAAAGAAGUUCAGAACCAUGGAGAGUAAAAUAGGAACAAAGGCUUGGAGAGCACAACUUUUACAAGACAUCUAUUCAAGACCAUGACUGUCUCUGCUAAGCCACACAAGCAAACCCAAACAAUGGCACAAACACAUUCUUGCGUGGGAUGCUGCGUGUGCUGGGAUUAACGCAUGUCUCUCCAGUCUCCAUGUUGCAGUAGACCUUGAUGGCAUCAACGGCGCAGCCAAGUCAGGGUGGCAGAGUUUCAGGUCACGGCAGGAGCGAGCAGGGUUCUUGCGAGAGCCAUCAGGGCUGCGGAUAUCCUCAAUCUGGCUGUUGAUGGAUUUCAGAGUGGCAUCAACUUCAACAUCAUGCUGUCUCAGAUUGCUGGAAGCCUCAUCGGCACGCAUGUAACGCAGGGGAUCUGGGCCCUUCUCAGUCUGACCAAGUCCAGCAAAGGCAGACAUGUCAAUGCCAGGGCCUGGAGGACCAGGGGGACCAGGGGGUCCAGAGUUUCCAGGAGGUCCCUAAAGAGAGAAGCCACAAAAGAAGAAAUAUAAAAUGUCCGGAAGGUCCAGCAGCACCCUGGUCACCAGUAGAACCCUGCAGAACAAGAACAAAAAGUUUGGGUUAAGACAUCAUGGUCCGGGAAGACCAGGGAAACCUCUCUCACCACGCUGACCAGGCAAACCAACAAUACCACGCUGACCAGCAAGACCAGCAGGACCAGAAGGACCAUCAGGACCCUAAAUAUCAAGCAGGAGCAGCCAAGAGGAGAUAAAGGGACCAUCCUCUCCAGGCUCUCCCUUCUCUCCAGGGGAUCCAGCAGGUCCACGGAGGCCAGCAUCUCCAGGUCUUCCUGGGGGACCAGCAUCACCACGAAUACCCUUAGGACCAUCUUUGCCAGCAGGACCAGCUGGACCAGCAGAACCAGGGUUACCCUAGUUAAGAAAAAGUCAGAGAAGAAAACUAAAUAAAUACAUUAAGAAAACUGUGUAAGGAAUAAACAUAAGAAUGACACUUCUUAAUGUUUUAACUGUGCAUAUGCAAUUUCAUUGGGCCGAUCAAUGUACCUGAAGGUGGGUGCUAUCUGCCCCCUUCUGAAUACUUGUGGUCACAGAUGCCUAAGAUUAGUUAGAGGAAUUCUGAGCUUCUGUAAUCCUGGCCAUGAAUAGCUAUGGCAUUUCAUGUCAUAUGAAUAUACUAGAGCAGUGGUUCUCAAACUGUGGUACGCGUACCACUGGUGGUACGUGAAGCAGCAUGAGGUGGUACGCCAGAUAAUCUCGGAAAAGUAAUUACAUGGACCGAAAAAAUAAAUCAUUUAAUAAUUAUAAAUAAAAAAUAAUA